rnacentral:lncRNA from 1 species
ACUGGAACAACACAAUGUCAGGAGCUAGUCGGUAGACGUCGAGGAUGCUCACAUGACCUUAGAUUUUCGUUUCUCUAUUAUGUGGUAUGCACACCGGCCGAUUGACAUGGCCUAAUCGACUUCAAACAGGGAAUGGCAAAUUCUCUGCACAUUACACCAAAUAGGAAGCAGAAGAUAUCAGUCCUUCACAAUGUCAGCGGGACCAUCAAGCCUCACAGGUAAAUUAAAUUCCCAGCAUAUAUUACUACGAGUUUGCAAAUCAUCUUCAUUGGGUGUAUUAUUUACGUUUACCUCAUCCCUGCUCUUGCUAGGAUGACCUUGCUUUUGGGUCCUCCUGGUGCCGGAAAAACCACGCUACUCCUG